CAUGCCAAUGGCACUGCCCGGUAGCUAAAUGCGGAAGAGAUAAGUGCUGAAAGCAUCUAAGCACGAAACUUGCCCCGAGAUGAGUUCUCCCUGAGACUUUAAGUCUCCUGAAGGAACGUUAAAGACGAUGACGUUGAUAGGCCGGGUGUGUAAGCGCAGCGAUGCGUUGAGCUAACCGGUACUAAUGAACCGUGAGGCUUAACCUUACAACGCCGAAG
rnacentral:rRNA from 1 species